GGGGAAUAUUGCACAAUGGGCGAAAGCCUGAUGCAGCAACGCCGCGUGAGUGAUGAAGGUCUUCGGAUUGUAAAGCUCUGUCUUCUGGGACGAUAAUGACGGUACCAGAGGAGGAAGCCACGGCUAACUACGUGCCAGCAGCCGCGGUAAUACGUAGGUGGCAAGCGUUGUCCGGAUUUACUGGGCGUAAAGGAUGUGUAGGCGGAUAUUUAAGUGAGAUGUGAAAUCCCCGGGCUUAACUUGGGGGCUGCAUUUCAAACUGGAUGUCUAGAGUGCAGGAGAGGAAAGCAGAAUUCCUAGUGUAGCGGUGAAAUGCGUAGAGAUUAGGAAGAAUACCAGUGGCGAAGGCGGCUUUCUGGACUGUAACUGACGCUGAGGCGCGAAAGCGUGGGGAGCAAAC
rnacentral:rRNA from 1 species